rnacentral:rRNA from 1 species
UGCCAGCCGCCGCGGUAAUACGGAGGAUGCAAGCGUUAUCCGGAUUUAUUAGGUCUAAAGGGUGCGUAGGCGGAUAAUUAAGUCAGUGGUGAAAUCCUGCAGCUCAACUGCAGAACUGCCAUUGAUACUGGUUAUCUUGAGUUUUGUUGAGGUAGGCGGAAUGUGUAGUGUAGCGGUGAAAUGCUUAGAUAUUACACAGAACACCGAUUGCGAAGGCAGCUUACUAAGCAAAUACUGACGCUGAGGCACGAAAGCGUGGGGAGCGAACAGGAUUAGAUA